CCACAGACUGUAGCAUAAGUUACCUCCUGAUUUAUGCACUAUUUCUGACCUAGCACUUUUUAAAUCAAAGCUCAAGACUUAUUUAUUUAAACUAGCUUUUAAUAAUGCCUAGUGGUACUAUGACAUGUUUUGUUUUUAUGUGCCAAUUUAACUCCAUUGUAUGCUUGU